rnacentral:rRNA from 1 species
GCUUACGGCCACACCGCCUGGUUCACGCCCGAUCUCGUUUGAUCUCGGAAGCUAAGAUAGGGUGGGCCUGGUUAGUACUUGGAUGGGAGAGCGCCUGGGAAUACCAGGUGUUGUAAGAU